rnacentral:rRNA from 1 species
GUCUACGGCCAUGCCGCCCUGAACACGCCUGAUUUCGUCUGAUCUCGGAAGCUAAGCAGCAUUGGGCUUGGUUAGUACUUGGAUGAGAGAGACCACCUCAGGAAAACCAGGUGCUGUAGGCA